UGGCCGCAAAUUGUGCAUUUUCUUUUCGCUCGUACAGGUCAACGCGAUGAUAUCUAUCAAUAUACUUUGGGUAGCUCAUAGUGCAUGUCUUGCUGUUUCUAAAGUAUUAAUUUGAUUAGCAAAAACUCCAAGUGUUAUAAUAUUUUAGGGCGAUACAAGUACCUUCAUCGAAGCUCGUGAGCGAAAGGGCUAAUUUUAGCUAAUUUCAAUACAAUCAAAAGCCCACUGGUACAUUGAAUUUGAAAUCGAACCUAAAUUUUCUAAAAGCCCAUACUUCAUAUUAUGUUGUGUGAAAGUCUCUUCCGCGGCCCGAAAAAAGUACCCUGUCGAGAGCAAUAAACGUGUGGUACAUUUUGAGAAAUUCGUCAUUCGUGAAACCAACAUGGAACUUGGAAAGCUACCUUCAUCAAGAACAAAAAUAAGUGAAUGGAAGCCUUAUUCGUCAAUAAAGAUGCUCGUAAUCCGGUUUUUUUCCUUUUAGAUUGACCACAUGAUUAACUUUGGCAAACAUUUGGAAUUAAAUAAAUAUAGACGCUGCUUUUGGUACUUUGUAAUGUUAUGCAAAUUUAUUUCGAUCACCGGCACGUGCAUAUAUCGCCCGAAACUGAUUUGACUUCCGCCUACUGUAUUUGUCUUUUUGAAGGUUACAACUGUAGCACACAUUAUUCGUUCAAUAUCGGCAGUUGUAAUUUUUGUGGAAGACCCACAGCCGAACCUGACUUCAAAAGAAAAAAAGACAUUUUGAAACGUGAAACUUGAGUAAUCAAUCAAUCGAUUACAGUUGCACCAUCAUGUUUGGCGUAAAUAUUCGAGCACAACCAUUUCAUGUAAAUAGGCACACUCUACUUUAAAAAUAACCGUCUCAUUGCAGCAUUUCUUGAAAUCCUGGUCUGAGACCAGGUAAUGAUGACAAAGCGCGAGCAGAUGGCGAAACCUCAUGAUCAGCAGUCGCAAAGUUGUGGCAUAAUAUGGCAAGAUAAUUCGACCGUUGUAUUUUUUUACCCGUGUGCUUGCAAUUCUAAUAUAAUGGGUACAAUUACCCCUGUCUUUACCACCAGAUUUAUCGAUGAAUCGUUCGUCUCCUAUCACCUAAUAUGCCACAUACCUCUCAAUAAAACACAUACUGUCGUCCGCCACUUGCGAAACGUGAGCAGCAAGACAGAAAACCACAAAUGUUUCUUAGUCAAUCACACAAAGCUGUCCAGAUCUAUUUCUUACAAAGUUUCCAGACUUCGCUCUCCUGUAAAGUACCAAGACUUCGCCGUUCUGUUGGCCAGUCCGAAUAACUGUCAUGGUGUUAGUUGAGUACUUGACUCUGUUUGGUGGUCGCGCAGUUCAGACAAUUCGACAAAUGUUGAUUUCAUGACAAUC